GCAUUACGUUCCCUGCUCUUGUACACACCGCCCGUCGCUACUACCGAUUGAAUGGCUCAGUGAGGCCUUGGAGAUUGAGCUUAGGAGAGUUAGCAACGACCCCCCAGAGCCGAAAACUUGGUCAAACUCGGUCAUUUAGAGGAAGUAAAAGUCGUAACAAGGUUUCCGUAGGUGAACCUGCGGAAGGAUCAUUACCGAGUGAGGGCCCUCUGAGUCCAACCUCCCACCCGUGUUUAUUUUACCUGGUGGCUUCGGCGGGCCCGCCUUAACUGGCCGCCGGGGGGCUCACGCCCCCGGGCCCGCGCCCGCCGAAGACACCCUCGAACUCUGUCUGAAGAUUGAAGUCUGAGUGAAAAUAUAAAUUAUUUAAAACUUUCAACAACGGAUCUCUUGGUUCCGGCAUCGAUGAAGAACGCAGCGAAAUGCGAUACGUAAUGUGAAUUGCAAAUUCAGUGAAUCAUCGAGUCUUUGAACGCACAUUGCGCCCCCUGGUAUUCCGGGGGGCAUGCCUGUCCGAGCGUCAUUGCUGCCCUCAAGCCCGGCUUGUGUGUUGGGCCCCGUCCUCCGAUCUCCGGGGGACGGGCCCGAAAGGCAGCGGCGGCACCGCGUCCGGUCCUCGAGCGUAUGGGGCUUUGUCACCCGCUCUGUAGGCCCGGCCGGCGCUUGCCGAUCAACCCAAAUUUUUAUCCGAGGUGACCUCGGAUCAGGUAGGGAACGGGGGAUUUUC
rnacentral:rRNA from 1 species